AAGAUUAAGCCAUGCAUGUCUAAGUAUAAACAAAUUUGUACUGUGAAACUGCGAAUGGCUCAUUAAAUCAGUUAUAGUUUAUUUGAUGAUACCUUGCUACAUGGAUAACUGUGGUAAUUCUAGAGCUAAUACAUGCAAUCAAGCCCCGACUUCCGGAAGGGGUGUAUUUAUUAGAUAAAAACCAACGCGGUUCGCCGCUCCCUUGGUGAUUCAUAAUAACUUCUCGAAUCGCAU
rnacentral:rRNA from 1 species